rnacentral:sRNA from 1 species
GUCAGGAACCCGCCCCCUGCAAGGGGGCAGGCUUGCUCGCACGAGCAAGUCUCAUCUUGACCAGUCUCAGCCACUAGCCUCCUUGAGGCUAACGGGGCUCCGUUCAGGAAGAAACGAGGUACGUCCAAGUGCUUCACCAGCUUGGACCUCUACGGUGCAGGAUUAAACAGGUUGACGGGGUAAAGCCAGUGUCUUGUACGCUCAACCUUCCUUGAACGUUGACGAGGUGAGCAUUACCUGGGAAACCAG